UACAGAGGUCUCAACCGUUGUUCGGAUUCAUUGGGCGUAAAGGGUGCGUAGGCGGUCGCGCAAGUCGGAUGUGAAAUCCCCAGGCUCAACCUGGGAACUGCGUCUGAUACUGGAUGGCUUGAAUCCGGGAGAGGGAUGUGGAAUUCCAGGUGUAGCGGUGAAAUGCGUAGAUAUCUGGAGGAACACCGGUGGCGAAGGCGGCAUCCUGGACCGGUAUUGACGCUGAGGCGCGAAAGCCAGGGGAGCAAACGGG
rnacentral:rRNA from 1 species